rnacentral:antisense_RNA from 1 species
UUUCAGCGAACCCAGCCACAAUGGACGGUCCCGCUCUUGCCCGUAGGUCGCGAGGAUCGCGUUGGCCUC